rnacentral:piRNA from 1 species
UGCAUGGGAACAUGUAACACUGAGAACUUUGAGUGUUGUAGAGCAAAAUAAUAUCUAUACUUUUAUAAUAACUUUUAUUUCAACACCACAUCAAACCUCUUUCUGAAGUUGCAGAGCCAAUGUGGAGACACCAAUACAAGUGGCAAUUUGGGCCUUUGUAGACAAAUGUUGUUUGUACCUACACUCUAUUGUUACCUUUGAUAUUUUAAUCAACCCAACUAGAAGACUGUUCAGUGAAACCAAUUCUGUGGUUCCAGACUUCCAUCAAUGGUGGAGGAUACAUAAGUUUGCCAGGCCUGGACAACUGGCAGAUUCCACCCAGAUGUGGGAGCUAGAGCAUCAGCGAGAAAGUCUGAUGGCAAGUUUCUUUUUAUUGCUCUCAUUUCUAACCUUUUGUUAUCACAAUGUCAUGUGUCUCUAACCAUUUGUCUUCUUCUUUCUUAUCUCAUAACCAUUUGUCUUCUUCUUUCUUAUCUCAUAACCAUUUGUCUUCUUUCUUAUCUCAUAACCAUUUGUUAUAAUAUCUAGUGGGAAUUUCUUGAUAGUCCCAAUUUAUAAACUGAAAGGUGUCUAGGGUAGAAAGGGGAAAUUUUUUCCAGAUUCUUAUCUUUGUUGAUAGCAAUUCCAGACAGUCCAGUUUCAAGUUGGCUACCGUCAGUGUAAAUUGUGAUGUCGAAGAGGGAGCUAUUUUCCUCAAUGAUUUGGAGGCCAAGAGCUUCAAGUAAUUCUGGCUGAGUUUCAUGUUUGUGGGGAUUGGCUGGUAGAUGAGGGAAACAGAUGAGUUUGUUGAGUUCUGUGUGGGGGAUAGGAAGUUCUGGGUUUGGGAUUAAUUGGGAUGUCUAAGAGAUUAAAGUUGUGAGCCAUGUUGAGAGGAGUUGGGUGUUUUAGUCUUUGAUUUGGGACCCAAUUUCUAAAAAUUUUCCUAUAAGAUGUUCUUCUGGAGAGUUUGGUUAUGAAUUUUGAAAAGCAGAUUUUUCUCCUUAGUUGCAGGGAAAGAAGGUUGUAUUUGAGUUCAGCAAUGCGAUUUGGGCAAGAUCCUUGAAGCCCCCUGAUGAUUUGAGCUGCGCUUGGAUUCUGGAUAUAUUGGUUUUACUUGCAUUGAUCCAGGCUGGUGUAGCAUAUUCCAAAAUAGGUCUUACAAGUGCAAGGUACGUUGUGCGUAAGAUAUUGGCAUUUGCACCUCAGUUAAGCUUGAUAUUUUAUUCAGGAUUGUGAAUCGGCUUUGUUUUAUCAUGGUGUCACUGUUUUUUAAAAGUCAGAGCAGGGUCAAGUGACACCAAGAUAUCUUGGGGAACUGGAAUAUUGGAUUAUUGAGUUGUUCAAUGAAAUAUUUGGGGUCCACUGGCGAAGGUGGUUGUUGAUGGUGAAGAGGCCAAUUUCAGAUUUGCUGAUGUUUAUUAAUAAUUUCAGUUUCUCUGUUAUCUUUUGCAGAUUUUUCAUGGCUUUAUUCAGAGAGAGUUCUGCAUCAGAGAGGUUGUUUUUGGAGACCCAGAUGAUUCUGUGUAAAGGGCAAAUAAGAUGAUAAUUGAAACUGCUGAUAAUUGGGAUAUAUGAUAAUUGUGACACCAGAUAAUUAGGACUAAUUAUGUCUUCUUCUGUCACCCAAUCAUGAUUAUAUUUGUUUCGCCUGAUAAUUGUGACUCCUGAUAUUUGAGACUGCAGAAAUGAUCCCUAAUAAUGUGAAACAUUCCUUUAUACUGUAUUCCAACAAUCAUUGCCAGGACCUGUUUGUUGCAGCACUACUAUGGAGCCUUCACAUGGAACUCCUGCCAAGGAAACAAGACUGCUACCAAGGUCCCCUCCCUCACCUUCACUUAUCCCAGAGAGGGUUUUGAAGGUCAGAUCCAACCUAUGGUAUAUUGCAUCAAUAAUUUCAGCAAGCAGCCAAUAGAGUUCCUAUGCAGUAGCUUCCUACUGAGUGAUGAUUCAUUGUGAGUGACAAGAAGCACUGUCAAUAUUCACACCGCCAGGCCACAGUCCUAAUAUGACAUUCCAGCAACUUGUUACGCUGAGAGCCUUACACACCAUUUUUAAACUUGGCUCAUAUUUUAUUACAUAUGUACACCCUUCUUUUUUUUUUUUUUACAGAACUUAUUUGGCAAAAAAAAUGAUACUCACACAAGCACUCUAUUGUAUAUUGCACCAAUAAUUGCAUCAAGCAGCCAAUUGAGUUCCUAUGCAAAGGUUUCCCAGGAUUUAAUCAACCCUGAAUGCCAUCAGGGGUUGUUCCACCAUCUAAUAACAAUAGUCCAUCAUUGAGGUUGGGUUGGUUGGUCCUCUGGUAGGUCAAGCUCCUGGCUGACAUGAGUGUAAUGUGAGGAUUAUUACAAGUUCUCUUUCAUUGGACGUCAGGAAGUUUCUCUGCUAUGUCCACAAAAGGUGGCUUGCCCCGUUGAUCUAGCAGAUGUCUUUGAUUAUUGGAGCUCUUCGACAGGCCCAAACCACCAAUAGGAUUCCCUAGAUAAAACUUGUAGGAAUGUAUUUUAACUGUGCACACACAUAUUGUGAAAAUAUACAAGAAUGGAACAUAGCACUUGUCCAGAAAGGUGGUGUUAGGGGGGGUCUACAUAUUAGUAGAAAAACCAGGUAGCUCUCAUUAAAUCCAAAGGAGAAAGGACAGGGCAUAUUUUGUCCAUUAUUUAUAAGCCAAUAUAGAGCAGUAAAACUAUCUUUGACCUAUCAGAACAUGUAAGAACUAUAAUAUAUGUUACCUGUGCUAUACACACCUUCUCAUAGUAAUAUUUCAACCAAAUUGUGGACAACCUCCAGGUGAGGCUGGGUUAGGCCUUUCAUGGGUGGAGACUUGUGCAUUGUAUAGAAAUUCAUCAAGUAAUGUUCACCUAUUUCUUUGACACCUGAAGUGUUAUUAUGGAGACCUAUCUGUAAGUUGUACAUCUUUAAUUCCUGUAAAUAAUUUCUUGAAAUCUCUCUUUUCCAGAAUCAUACUUGCAAUAUAUGUUCAAUAUUUAAAUGAUUUACCUUUCCAUUUUGAAGCUAUAUAGGAAUUUGCUUCAUGUAUAAGCAGCAACCUAUGUAAGCACACCGUAUAUACACUCUGGUGGAAUAGUUCACUAAGGGUGAUAACGCAUACUUUGGUCUAAAAAACUUGUUGGAGUAAGACCAAAGCGAGUGUGUAUGUUGUGUGUGGCGGAGAUGAAUCUGUCCCACGCCCAAGUUUUGACAGCCGCGCAAGGUGGUAGCAACUCAGGAGAUCAGAUUUCUCUACUCUUUUGGCGAGCACUUCGAAGACAUCGUUAUUAACGAUCCCACUGUGGCCUUUAAUCCAUCGUAUGGAACACCUAUUCAUGUUGCGGUUCAGUUAUGAAAUCAGCCACAAACCCUGUUGACCAGGAGGUUGCCUGAGUUAAGAACGGAUUUCACAAAUGAAAGGUUAUCUAGGAGAACUUCAAUAUUAAUAUUUUCAGGAAGAUUUGAGGCAUCCUCAAGUGCUUUAAUUAAGCCAAGUGCCUCCGCUUGGAAGACAGAACAGUACGGGGACAGGACAAAACUCUCACGCAAUUCAUUCAUGGAACCAUUCGCACACACUCUAUAUAGGCCUGUGCCUACUCCAGUUUUCGUCUUGGAGUAUCUGUGUAGUAGGUGACGUCAGCCGAAAGAUCUGGAAUAUUAAUGGGAGCUGAGUAAUAGGGAGGAUAGGGAAGUGGGUGAGAGCAGGGAGGAGGCUCGACUGGAAAUUCAGCGUCAACAAAACUGUGCUUUUUAAAGUACAAUUCCGCCUUGGCGCCGACAUCCAGAUCNNNNNNNNNNNNNNNNNNNNNNNNNNNNNNNNNNNNNNNNNNNNNNNNNNNNNNNNNNNNNNNNNNNNNNNNNNNNNNNNNNNNNNNNNNNNNNNNNNNNGAGAGGGAGAACACGGGAAAGAGAGAUGAGAGAGCUAUUGUCAGUUGUUUUAAACGCGCGGCAUGUCCUGAUGAGGAACGGGCGCUGCGCGCUUGAGAGUGUUUAAGGAUCGUUGUUUAAGAUUAGAAAACCACACAGGAGAAGCGUAAGAAAUGGCUGGAACCACAACCUGUAGAUAAAGCAUCCUCAGGGCAUGGAAUCCAAAGCUAAAGUUGGAGCUGGCAGCUGCUGUCAAACGCGGGAGAAAACCGCGGACUCUGGUGCAAACCUCUACCACAUGCUGGUUGAAGGUGAGACGCUGAUCAAACCUUACUCCCAGCACUUUGAUUGAGGCGCUCCAUUGAAUGGGUUGACCAUUAAUGGUCAGAUUGCAGCUAGGCUUUAGUUGUCUGCCAGAAGGUCUUAGAAGGAGCAUGGUCUGACACUUCCUCACGCUAAGUUCCAGUUUAUGCAGGCCACACCACCUCGUGAUCUCGUUAAUGGCAAGUUGCGCCGCUCCAAGUUGAUUAGCAACUUGGCCCGCCACCACCAUAACAAGAUCGUCGGCGUAGGCCUGCGGGUGCACGCAAUUUCUAAAGUUGAGCGUGAGGAGCUCGUCAAAGACAAGGUUCCAAAGAAAUGGCCCAAGAACUGAGCCCUGUGGGCAGCCCUUGGAAACCUGUCUCGUGACCGUGCAACCAUUCAUUGACAGUCUGACAACAUGAUUAUUGAGGAAGGAACAAAUUAAAACAAACAAGUUCUUUGGACAGUCAUUCAUACAUAGAGCUCGCAAUAUGCUGGAGUGUAGCACAUUGUCAAAGGCACCUUUCACAUCAAAGGAAAGAAGAAUAGAAGAUUUUUCGCCCUCCUCCCACGUGAUCGUGCCGUGUUUGUUGACAUGAGCAAGUUAGCGUCAAGGAAGUUUUCGACAAUUUCUCUUUUGGAGCAUUUGUAUUUAGGCAACCGUGCUUUAUUUGACCAUCUAUAGGAUUCAAUAUUAAAGUCGCCACAAAAAAUUACCUCAUGGAAAUUAAUUGUUUUAAAAACUUUGAACUUUGAGGUAUUGACCUCGGGACCCUCCAGGGCCCACAGAUGGUUCACUGUCACCGCCCAAGGGUCGGGGACGGCUGCAAAGUCAUCAAAGUCAUAGGAGCACCAUGUUCUCCUUUCUUGUGCUCUGUCAUUGCUGAGGGGCACAGGCACAUACCUCAUGCGGUACAUGAAGGUACCCGCGCUGCAGCCAAUCCUGGAUGGAUAGCACUCUGUGCUGUGCGUUUGGAUGCUGGCGGCGCCCUGCACCUGCUGGCUCCUCACGCGGUAAGUGGCGCUGGGGCUCACUUCGUUCCAGGCCAAGAGGGCCUCAGAGCCCAUGGUCUCUGCUGGGAUGGGGCCCAGCUUGAAGGGUGGCCGUUGUAGGGAUGUCAGUUCCCCAUCAACCAGCGACAGCAAGUUGUGGUUGAGGGCGAUAGUCUGGUUGUCCGUAGGGAACACGCCCGGUGCAACUCCACAACUCAGUAUGGCACUACGUGCCGCCGGCUCCAUGGGGUCUACUUGCCCGUACCCCACAAUGUUCUGGGUAGGAAGGCCUGCGCCUUGCUCCAUAGGGGUCAUGUCUGCGGGCAGUGGCCAACGCCCUUGAACGCCUCCAAGUUCCGCUAAGAUGCGGGAGGCUAGAAGUCCUGAACAUGGGUAGUUCAUGUAGAGCCAAUGGGUAUCUUGCCCAAACCGCCUGAACCAACGGGGGGUUUUGUUAAAGAGUUGUCUAUCCUAUCAAGAAGAGCGUCGGAACAACAUGAUGGUGAAAGAUAAACAGUACACAGAAGGAUUGACAAGUCAUUCACUUCGCACAGGACAAAUACAGCAUUCACACAAGACAAGAGAGACAAGUGUAUGAUUUUUAAAUUCGGAUUUGCUAUUAUUACAGCCGCUCCCAAUUUAUUUUCGAUUAUUGGACCGUGACAAACCCUGUCAAGGGGCACAGGUAGUGAUGGUAAAUUGUUUUUGGAAAUUGGGAGUUCUUGCAACAAAAGCACAUCCUAUUUUUCCUCGCGACAUUCAUUCAACAAGGAGUACAAACAUUAUGGAGAGCGUCUUACAUUGGCUUGAACACACUUAAGAACGUUCAUAGCACCAACAAUUUAUUGAAAUUACCCUGUGCCUCCCGCAUGUGUUUGCACGCCAUGGAGUUGGCACUGUGUCGCCACACCUGUGACAUUUCAAUGCUGUUUUAUUUUCACAGGUUUCGGAAAGAUGUGCACCAGCGCAAUGGCUACAUUUAGCCGCCCUAGUGCACUUCUUUCCGUUGGUGUGGGUCCUGUGACUUAAACUGCCACACACCACAUGGGAAGACGCGCUUUGCUCUAGCGAGUCUCAGCGAGAGGAAGUCAAUUGUGAUCCUACCACGCUCGAGCAAGGCAGUCUCAACUUCCUUGUUUACUUCCACUAUCGCGGUGGAGGGGGCACCCUCUUUCCUAAUUAGUUUCACCAUCCUGAUGUCUUUGCCACUUUUCAGCAGCUUUUCGACAGCGGGAUGGUUACUAAUAUCAGCCACAAGCUGCUCCUCAGUUUUCUCUCCAGGAAUACCGAAGAUAGCAAGCCACAUUCUUUAAACAGGGAGUUUGGGUGAUUUUUGCCCUGAUUUCACUAACAGACAGCUCCGCAUGAUUAAUGCUGUUACGCAGCAUAUGCACGUAACUUGGUCGUGUAGGUUUGGUUGGCUUAACACCAACAUUGGGUGGUGGUGCAGGUUUGGCAUUUUUAGCAGAGGCUGCGUAUUGCGCCCUAAUCUCAGCAAUUUUAAGAUCGCAACCCUUCAACCCAGUUCCCCACCUAGACCUACACCAAUUUCAUAUUGUAGGAUCUGCCUAAAGCUUUGGGUUUCGGGACAGGAGAGGGUGGUGUUGUCAAUUAGAAGAUGGGGAGGUUUGCAGAAAAUGGGUAGAACCAGGGAACUCCAGGGAGGAGACGGCAUUGACAUCUCCAGCGAACAGAAGGCGAGGAGGAGGUGGGGAGCCGAAGAGAGUGAGGAAGGAGUCUUCUAUGGGGGAAUAAGAAGCUUUGUGUGGGAAGUAAACAGAGCAGAUAGUGAGAUGGAAGCCUGGGAUGUAGAGAAUGGCGAGGGUACGGUUGGUGGUAGAAAGGCGAGGGAGGAAGACCACAGGCAGGCUCUGGUUAAGAACCACGAUGCAGGUGCUGCACUUGUUCUGUGUGAUGGGAUCGUGAAGGAAAGAGGCGGAGGGGAUUGGGAAGGGAGAGGUGAGAAGGCCUUUACGGACCGGCAGUUCUUGAAGCAGGAGGAUAUCUAUGUGAGAGGACUGCGCGGUUACGAGAAUAGAGAGGAAGCAGGGGAGGGAACGGUUGCAAUUUAGCUGCAGGAACCUAAUCAUGGGAUUCCAUGCGUUGUGAGGAAGGCAGACUCUGCCGCCUUAAUGAUCGGGCAGGCAAGGGAAUCCGCCCGGUGUUGGUUGUUGCUGCUGCACCGGAAGCAUCUAGGGGGAGAGGAGAUUGCUGCGCAGUCGUUGAUGGUGUGGCCCUCCCCACAGUGCAAACACUUGGCCCGUUUGGGGCAGUUGUGUUGGCGUAGGUCGCCACAGGAGCACCAAGGGUGCGUUGUUCUUGUUCGCUCGAACCUGAUAGAGCUAAAACCUAUGAAGAGGCGAGAACGCGACUGGAGGUCCCUGGCUGUAGCGGUGUCAGUCUCUAUGAUGGCGUGUUUGUUGUUGUUGUGCGCAGCCAUUGUACGGACUAGCCUACAGCCGGCGCCCACGGAUUGGUUGAGUAGUGUGGUUAGGUCGUUUAUUGGGAUAUAGUCGGGAAUGUUAAAGAGGGUAUAGCGUGGUUUGAAUGUAGGGGACAGGUGCACCUUGAUGUUUGUUCCCCUAGUGGCAUUUAUUAGUUUUGUAUAGAUGUUUGUCAUGUUGUUUUUAGUGUUUGUAUGUAUGGUUAGUUUGUUGCGUGUGCGGUGUAUGUUGGUGAUUGGUGUGGUGGGCGUGGUAAGGGAGGAGAUGAAAAUUUUUGUGUAUAGUUUGGUGUCGAUGGGGGUGUUGAUGGAGGGGUCUUGGGUGAUUAAUAUAUGGAAGGGGUUGUUGUGGUUGGAGGGGGGUGUGGGGCGGUGGGAUGGGAAGUGUGUGCUGUGGCGGGGGGAGAGGGAGUAGCAGAAGGGGGAAGGGAGGCGGCUCUGGCAAAAGAGUUAGGAGUAGAAAGGAGAGGAUUUGGGGAGGAGGGGGUGGGCAGGGGUUGAGGGAUAGGGGGAGAUAGAGGAAGAGGGUUAGGAGGGGAAGGAUGAGGAGUUUUAGGAGGAGGAAUGGGGGGGGGGGGGUUUGGGUGGUAGUGGAAGGUUCAGUGGGGUGGUGUGAGGGUGGUUGUGUAAGUAUGUAUGUGAGGAUGUUGUUGGUGUGGUUGGCCUCUAUGAGGCGCGGGUUGUAUGUCUGUGUGAGGUGUGUGAAUGUUAUGUCGUGGGUGGUUCUGAAUUGGUCGGCGAUUGAAGGGGUGAGACCAUUGGAGAAAGGAGCUAGGAGGUGGUAGGCCCAGGAAAGAGGGAGGAAGUGGGAGUUGUUGUUGAUGGGGAACAGAUUGCAUAACAAUGGGGGGGAGUCAAUGGUAUAGUCGGAAUUGCGAAGGUGGUGUGGCUUGUAGGGAGUGUGGGUGGUGGUGACUGGGGGAUGAGGAGGGGUAGGUUCACUCACCCCUGGUUGACCGUUGAGAGGGCCGCCGAUUGUGCGGUCCAGGUGGCUGUCGAAGAUGCUGGGGCGCAGUUCAUCCCUGGAGGAAUCCGCACUUGAAGUGGAGGUGCAGUCUUGGGGAGAGUUGGUGGAGUCCUCCCUGGAAGAAGAGACGUCUGGGGGGGGGGGGGGUGUAGUAUCCAGGAGGGGUGUGGGAGAAGGGGUUCUAGUAGGGGUAGGUCCUCGGCGGGUGGGGGAAUGGUGGACUGGUGCGCUGGGGCGGACAGGUGAGUUGCUGGGCCUGCGGCGGCGCGUGGUGUUGCUGUCGCCUGGGGAGGGGAGCUGGGAGUUCAGCGCGGCAGACGGAGGGACCGCGCUCGUCGGUGACGAAGUGUCAAAUGGCCGAUUGCGGCCGCCCUGGAGAGCCCGCAUUUUCAUUGGCUGCGGGCGGAAAAAAAUCCGGGGAGGAUAAAUGGCGUAUUGCGGCCGUCCAAGAGAUCCGGGGAAUAAAAAUAAUUUUUAUCCUUUUCUGGUUUUUGGUGGAUUGGGGCUGGGCGCUGGGGAACAGUAGCACAGGAGACCAGAAGCACUUUAGAAAAUUCCUAUUUAGCCUUCUUGAAUAUGCUGACACCACCAAAAAGAGUGGAUGCCCUUACUUCAGGCAGUAUCCCUGUGCCUUACCACGGGUGGGGGGUCACUAGAGACUGGCAAGAAGCGAUCCUAAUUCAAGGGAAGCUUUUUACUCCAAGAGUAUCCAGAAUCCCUACCACUGGUGGGGGGAAUAUCUGAACUCGUUGAAGUUACAGCAUCAAAUUGGUGCCAUUUUAUAAGGCGCCCCGAAGUCUAAACCUGGGUAGCUGAGAGCCAAUCAAAAUGGAGAGUUGAUGGCGACCGCUUUGGAACGAAUUGCUGACAUUGGGCACUUUUAUCUUUCUUUUUCAAAAUUAUUUCAUUUUUUAUUUUUUACCCUGUGUUUUUUGGCUUUUAAUGUGUGAAAACAAUAUAACCACAAGCUUCUCUUCAGUUUUCUCAGCAGGAAUCCCGAAUAUAGCAAGCCUCUGCUUGAAUGUAGGAUUCGUCUGGACUUUUAAGUCUACCAAUGUUGGCGGACAUAACGUUGUCCACAAACCUCUUUUUCUCAGAGGGGUUGGCGAAGUGGAGGACAAGUUUUUUUAUCCCCCCCUGUCACCGCGGCUACAUCACAGUUCUUCAAACUAGGAGUCUGGGCGAUUUUUGCCCUGAUCUCGCUAACAGUGAAAUCCGCGGAAGCGAGCUUCGCGUGGUUGGUGCUGUUACGCAGCAUAUGCGUGUAACUGGGUUUAGUUGGUUUGACAGGCUUAGCACCUGCGCUGGUUGGCUGAGUGACUUUUGUCACCACUGGGGUUGGUUUGGAGAAGGUGUGGGAGCGACGGUUGGUUUUUUAGAGGCUGAUAGUUCAGCUUUGAUUUCUGCGACUUUAAGGUCGCAGCACUUCAGCUUAUGCUGAAGGAUGCUUACAACAGUGUUCUGGAGCUGGUAGAGCAGCCCAUCUAUUUUUAAGUAGAGAUUUUUAUUCUCUGUGGAACCUAGAUCCCCGCUGAGCCUUAGCCCUACCUCAUGUUGCAGGAUUUGGCGGCAACCCUUAAAGGACGUGUCGAUUUCACCCAGUUCCCCACCUAGUCCUACACCAACUUCAUAUUGUAAGAUCUGCCUAAAGUUUCGGGACAGUGGUGUCGGGUGGAAGGGAAAGGGAGAAGCGGAUCUCAUAGUGGUCGGAAAGGUCGGUAGGGUAUGAGGUGGAGACGGAGGAGAGGAUAGAGGAAGAGACGCUGGAGAUGUCAAUGGAGGAGGAGCUGGAGCCCUGGGAGCGGGUGAUAGCUCCCCAGGUGUUACAGACCUUGAGGUCGAGGGCGUCGAGAAGGGUGUUAAUAAGAGAGCCUUUAGAGUUUUGUUUUUGUGAGCUCCAGCGGGAGAAAACAGCGUUGACAUCUCCAGCGAAGAGAAGGCGGGGAGGGGGUGGGGAGCCAAAGAGGGAGAUAAAGGAGUCGACGAUGGGGGAGUAAGAAGUGUGGUGGGGGAAGUAUACAGAGCAGAGAGUAAGGUGAAAGCCUGGGAUGUCAAGGAUUGCAAGGGUGCGGCUGGUGGUGGAGAGUCUUGGGAGGAAAAUGACGGGAAGGCUUUGGUUAAGAACAAUUAUACAAGGUGUUACACCGGUUGUUAGAGAUAGGAGCAUGGAGGAGGAGGGGGUGGGAAAUGGGGAGGGAAGGGCAUUGUCACGGACCGGGAGUUCUUGAAGGAGAAUAAUAAGUUGCUCAGUGGGGCCAGGACCUCACCUGCGUUGGGAAUAAAGCGUCGGUAGUAGUUAACUGUACCCAAUAGACUUCUGACUGCCUUGAUGUUAUGAGGUCGUUUCAAAUCCCUGAGAGCGGCGACAUUGUCCCACAUGGGUUUGAUCCCAUUUUGGUCGAUUACAUGACCCAGGUACUCUACUGAGUCCCUGAAGAGAUAGCUCUUCCCGUAUUUGGCCUUCAAACCGAACUUACUCAGGCGUUCGAGUACAGCGGCGAGGUGCGCUACAUGCUGCUCGUGAGAGUCGCUGUAGACAAUGACGUCAUCGAUGUACAGGCGAACGCAUUUGAACAACAAGUCACCCAGGACCAAGUUCAUGGCCCACUGGAAGACCUGUGCUGAGUUUUUAGCUCCUUGUGGCAAACGCGUGAAACGGUAUCUCCCCCAGGGCAGAGAGAAGGUAAAAUAAUCUCUGUCACUCUCCGGGAUGUGAAUCUGGAAGAAUCCAGAAGUCAGAUCUAAUGUGCUGAAGACCUUCGAACCCGCAAAUGCGCGCAGAUUGUCUUCAACACGGGGUAUCGGGAACGGGAAGAAUUCAAUUGCCUCAUUGAUCAUACGCAGAUCCAUGGUGAUGCAAACACUUCCAUCAGCUUUGGCAACCGGGAAUAGAGGGGAAUUCCACAGAGAGGUGCUCCCCUCUAUUAUCCCUACUUCCUCCAGUUCGUCUACUAACGUUUUCACCUUUGAGACUAAUCUGUUCGGGUUUGGAUAUUGCCUCCUAUAUACUGGUUUGCUAGUCAGCAUCCUCAGCUUAGGGGCUGUGAUGGUGGAGCCAUUCCCCAUAUCUGUUAUGUCCCUACAGAAACAAUGGCUGAAAGCCCUGAAAAUAUCUUCGCCUGUGUGGAUUUCGUUUAAGGGUAUCCUGGGUGGUUGAGGAGACAUUUCUAUUGUUUGUAGUGAGGAAAGAAAGGCUGACUUGGUCGGACACUCCUUCCUUUCGUAGUAGGAUCUAAUACUACCAUCGUAGCUGAGGUGUAGUUUUAGAGCUCAAAAACCUGGUAAUCCGAGUAUGCCAUCAAACCCUAAUUCCCCCAUGUGACAAUACUCGAAGGUCAUUCUUACCUCCCUAAUGGGCUUACCGUUCACCACUGCCCCUAUUUCUAACACCUCACUCCCUAAUGACCUUAAAGAUUUGACUGAUAUACCUUUAAGGUAGGUAGGCUUGUCUAGUCCCUCAGUGCAUAAAUUUAAAUUGUCAAUAUUUACAAUGUUGGCCUCUGAGCCUGAAUCUAUGAUGAAUUUUAGAGACCUCUCGCCCAGAGACCUCCCUUUAUUUAAGAUAUAUACAUUUAUGGCAGGUAAACUGGCCGCAAAUCCCCCUCCUGCCUUGAGGCAAGCCGGGCCUAGUUUUUUUCUCUGCUUCUGCUGGCAGUCUCGGAUGAGAUGCCCUGGCUCGCCGCACCCGUAGCACUUGGGGGGCGGCCUCCCUGCACCCUGCUUCUUGUAGUCCACUCCAGGGUUCUCCUCCCUUUCACCGUUGGGUUCCCUCCUUUGUUGUCUAGGCGGGGAUGGAUUCCGUUGUUGUCUGGGUGGUUGUUGUGCUGGUCUCCUCUGCCAGUUCCUGAGGGGGGCUCCCCUCCUGUUAUCCUGGGCGUUGUCUCCGUAAUCCCUUCUCCCUGCGGGGUGUGAUGGCCACCUUCCUCCCCCGCUAUUUUCACUAUUGGCACCACCUCUUUGUCUUCUAAGGGCUGCAUUCUCUAUUUCUAGUGCCUCCAUUUUCUUCUCCAGCUCGGCCAAUUUGUUGCCCAUGUCACCCAGCCUCUGACCGUUCCUGUCGGCGCUGGAGCGCUGCGCCUCCCUGUAGUCUUCCUCUCUCUGUUCCAGCCACUGUAGUUUGGUAACUAGGGUCUCCCAGGGUUCGCCUUGGUAUAGAUGAGCCUUCUCCCACAGGCUGGGGCAGAGUCCGUCGAUGAAAACCUCCGCGAUCUCCGAGGUGCCUAUCUUCAGGCCAUCCGACUCUGCUCCCGCUGCAAGGUCGCUCACCCGUGCGGCGAAGUCUCGUACUUUCUCCCCGGCCCCCUGUUUACAUGAGAAGAACUGGCUCCUCAUUUCCCUUGUGGAGACCCUCUUUCGGAACCUCCCCUCUAGACUCUCCUUCAACUCUUCGUACCCGAGGCGGAUUUGCUGAGAUUGUAGGGCAAACUCCCUCGCAGCCCCCCGGAGGUGGUUGUCCAAGAGGAUUCUUUUCCUGGCGUCGUCUAGGGCCCUUAGGUCGUAGACAAGCUCAAAGUCCUUUAUGAAUUUUGUGAAGGGGACUAUGCCCUUCCCUUCAAACUUCUCCAGGUUGUACAGCAUGGAGGGCAGCUGGGCUUGGCUAGUUGCGGCAUUCUCUUCAUCAGCAGGCAUGGUCCUCAGUUGUUGGAUCUACAGGAACUAGGUAUUAGUCAUUCACCCUGGUUGCAACGGUAGUAUCAGGACCCAUAGGGGCGGGCGAAGUAGGGAACACAAAACAGAAGGAAGGGGAGGAGCCUCUCUCAAUCAUGUUCCUAAAACACUGUGGGGUUCACGUUUCAAAAAAAAAAAAAAAAUAUGGUAACCAGAACAUAGAAACCACAUGUGGACGCAAAAGGAAAUUUACUCUCAUCAGUGCGGGAGAUGGAGGAGCUCACUGUUACAGUGUCGUGUGGAUGUGGAUGCAAACAUCGCGUUUCUGCAGUUAUCACACUGCUGAAUAAAUGAAGAUUCUAUAAAAGAAAUCAGUGAUAAAAAAGAAAAAAUUUGGUAUUCAAAAACAUAGAAACCAUAUGUGUAUGCAUAAGGAGAUUUACUCUCAUCAGUGUGGGAGAUGGAGGAGCUCACUGUUCCACAGUGUCGUGUGGAUGUGGACGCAAACAUCGCGUUUCUGCAGUUAUCACACUGCUGAAUAAAUGAAGAUUCUAUAAAAGAAAUCCAAGUGAGAAAAAAAAAAAGAAAAAUUUUGGUAUUCAAAAACAUAGAAACCAUAUGUGUAUGUAUAAGGAAAAAAUAUAUAUACUCCAAUUUUCAACAGCCUACAGACUUAUUUCAAAUUCAUCAAGAUAUUCUAUUCAUAAACGAGGCCCCUUGCCAAGAGCUACUCCCCACAGGCAAUCAUAUGGAAGGAACCUUCAAAAGUUUAAUACACCAAACCCAAUAGCUAUGACAAAGAUAUCCCCAACUCAAUGCAGGUAACCUACACCUAAUGAGGUGUCAAAUCCAAUAAAAAUAAUCAAGGGUGGUCGAGAUUGACAACAGGGAUGUUAAUACAACGAAACCCUCAGCUCACAAUCCAGGGACAAUCAAGAUCAUCACAUUCGAAUGCAUUGGAGUUCUCAACUUAACAACAUCCUGAGAUUUACUCCCAUCAGUGUGGGAGAACGGAGCAUGUAAGAUGUGACUUUCAGGCAGUAUCCCUGUGCCUUACCACGGGUGGGGGGUCACUAGGGACUGGCAAGAAGCGAUCCUAAUUCAAGGGAAGCUUUUGACUCCAAGAGUAUCCAGAAUCCCUACCACUGGUGGGGGGAAUAUCUGGACUCGUUGAAGUUACAGCAUCAAAUUGGUGCCAUUUUAUAAGGCGCCCCGAAGUUAUUUACAACAGUGUUCUGGAGCUGGUAGAGCAGCCCAUCUAUUUUUAAUUAGAGAUUUUUAUUCUCUGUGGAACCUAGAUCCCCGCUGAGCCUUAGCCCUACCUCAUGUUGCAGGAUUUGGCGGCAACCCUUAAAGGACGUGUCGAUUUCACCCAGUUCCCCACCUAGUCCUACACCAACUUCAUAUUGUAGGAUCUGCCUAAAGCUUCGGGUUUCGGGACAGUGGUGUCGGGUGGAAGGGAAAGGGAGAAGCGGAUCUCAUAGUGGUCGGAAAGGUCGGUAGGGUAUGAGGUGGAGACGGAGGAGAGGAUAGAGGAAGAGACGCUGGAGAUGUCAAUGGAGGAGGAGCUGGAGCCCUGGGAGCGGGUGAUAGCUCCCCAGGUGUUACAGACCUUGAGGUCGAGGGCGUCGAGAAGGGUGUUAAUAAGAGAGCCUUUAGAGUUUUGUUUUUGUGAGCUCCAGCGGGAGAAAACAGCGUUGACAUCUCCAGCGAAGAGAAGGCGGGGAGGGGGUGGGGAGCCAAAGAGGGAGAUAAAGGAGUUGACGAUGGGGGAGUAAGAAGUGUGGUGGGGGAAGUAUACGGAGCAGAGAGUAAGGUGAAAGCCUGGGAUGUCAAGGAUUGCAAGGGUGCGGCUGGUGGUGGAGAGUCGUGGGAGGAAAAUGACGGGAAGGCUUUGGUUAAGAACAAUUAUACAGGUGUUACACCGGUUGUUAGAGAUAGGAGCAUGGAGGAGGAGGGGGUGGGAAAUGGGGAGGGAAGGGCAUUGUCACGGACCGGGAGUUCUUGAAGGAGAAUAAUAAGUUUCUCAGUGGGGCCAGGACCUCACCUGCGUUGGGAAUAAAGCGUCGGUAGUAGUUAACUGUACCCAAUAGACUUCUGACUGCCUUGAUGUUAUGAGGUCGUUUCAAAUCCCUGAGAGCGGCGACAUUGUCCCACAUGGGUUUGAUCCCAUUUUGGUCGAUUACAUGACCCAGGUACUCUACUGAGUCCCUGAAGAGAUAGCUCUUCCCGUAUUUGGCCUUCAAACCGAACUUACUCAGGCGUUCGAGUACAGCGGCGAGGUCCGCUACAUGCUGCUUGUGAGAGUCGCUGUAGACAAUGACGUCAUCGAUGUACAGGCGAACACAUUUGAACAACAAGUCACCCAGGACCAAGUUCAUGGCCCACUGGAAGACCUGUGCUGAGUUUUUAGCUCCUUGUGGCAAACGCGUGAAACGGUAUCUCCCCCAGGGCAGAGAGAAGGUAAAAUAAUCUGUCACUCUCCGGGAUGUGAAUCUGGAAGAAUCCGGAAGUCAGAUCUAAUGUGCUGAAGACCUUCGCACCCGCAAAUGCGCGCAGAUUGUCUUCAACACGGGGUAUCGGGAACGGGAAGAAUUCAGUUGCCUCAUUGAUCAUACGCAGAUCCAUGGUGAUGCAAACACUUCCAUCAGCUUUGGCAACCGGGAAUAGAGGGGAAUUCCACAGAGAGGUGCUCCCCUCUAUUAUCCCUACUUCCUCCAGUUCGUCUACUAACGUUUUCACCUUUGAGACUAAUCUGUUCGGGUUUGGAUAUUGCCUCCUAUAUACUGGUUUGCUAGUCAGCAUCCUCAGCUUAGGGGCUGUGAUGGUGGAGCCAUUCCCCAUAUCUGUUAUGUCCCUACAGAAACAAUGGCUGAAAGCCCUGAAAAUAUCUUCGCCUGUGUGGAUUUCGUUUAAGGGUAUCCUGGGUGGUUGAGGAGACAUUUCUAUUGUUUGUAGUGAGGAAAGAAAGGCUGACUUGGUCGGACCCUCCUUCCUUUCGUAGUCGGAUCUAAUACUACCAUCGUAGCUGGGGUGUAGUUUUAGAGCUCGGAAACCUGGUAAUCCGAGUAUGCCAUCAAACCCUAAUUCCCCCAUGUGACAAUACUCGAAGGUCGUUCUUACCUCCCUAAUGGGCUUACCGUUCACCACUGCCCCUAUUUCUAACACCUCACUCCCUAAUGACCUUAAAGAUUUGCCUGAUAUACCUUUAAGGUAGGUAGGCUUGUCUAGUCCCUCAGUGCAUAAAUUUAAAUUGUCAAUAUUUACAAUGUUGGCCUCUGAGCCUGAAACUAUGAUAAAUUUUAGAGACCUCUCGCCCAGAGACCUCCCUUUAUUUAAGAUAUAUACAUUUAUGGCAGGUAAACUGGCCGCAAAUCCCCCUCCUGCCUUGAGGCAAGCCGGGCCUAGUUUUUUCUCUGCUUCUGCUGGCAGUCUCGGAUGAGAUGCCCUGGCUCGCCGCACCCGUAGCACUUUGGGGGCAACCUCCCUGCACCCUGCUUCUUGUAGUCCACUCCAGGGUUCUCCUCCCUUUCACCGUUGGGUUCCCUCCUUUGUUGUCUAGGCGGGGAUGGAUUCCGUUGUUGUCUGGGUGGUUGUUGUGCUGGUCUCCUCUGCCAGUUCCUGAGGGGGGCUCCCCUCCUGUUAUCCUGGGCGUUGUCUCCGUAAUCCCUUCUCCCUGCGGGGUGUGAUGGCCACCUUCCUCCCCCGCUAUUUUCACUAUUGGCACCCCCUCUUUGUCUUCUAAGGGCUGCAUUCUCUAUUUCUAGUGCCUCCAUUUUCUUCUCCAGCUCGGCCAAUUUGUUGCCCAUGUCACCCAGCCUCUGACCGUUCCUGUCGGCGCUGGAGCGCUGCGCCUCCCUGUAGUCUUCCUCUCUCUGUUCCAGCCACUGUAGUUUGGUAACUAGGGUCUCCCAGGGUUCGCCUUGGUAUAGAUGAGCCUUCUCCCACAGGCUGGGGCAGAGUCCGUCGAUGAAAACCUCCGCGAUCUCCGAGGUGCCUAUCUUCAGGCCAUCCGACUCUGCUCCCGCUGCAAGGUCGCUCACCCGUCCGGCGAAGUCUCGUACUUUCUCCCCGGCCCCCUGUUUACAUGAGAAGAACUGGCUCCUCAUCUCCCUUGUGGAGACCCUCUUUCGGAACCUCCCCUCUAGACUCUCCUUCAACUCUUCGUACCCGAGGCGGAUUUGCUGAGAUUGUAGGGCAAACUCCCUCGCAGCCCCCCGGAGGUGGUUGUCCAAGAGGAUUCUUUUCCUGGCGUCGUCUAGGGCCCUUAGGUCGUAGACAAGCUCAAAGUCCUUUAUGAAUUUUGUGAAGGGGACUAUGCCCUUCCCUUCAAACUUCUCCAGGUUGUACAGCAUGGAGGGCAGCUGGGCUUGGCUAGUUGCGGCAUUCUCUUCAUCAGCAGGCAUGGUCCUCAAUUGUUGGAUCUACAGGAACUAGGUAUUAGUCAUUCACCCUGGUUGCAACGGUAGUAUCAGGACCCAUAGGGGCGGGCGAAGUAGGGAACACAAAACAGAAGGAAGGGGAGGAGCCUCUCUUAAUCAUGUUCCUAAAACACUGUGGGGUUCACGUUUCAAAAAAAAAAAAUAUAUGGUAACCAGAACAUAGAAACCACAUGUGGACGCAAAAGGAAAUUUACUCUCAUCAGUGCGGGAGAUGGAGGAGCUCACUGUUACACAGUGUCGUGUGGAUGUGGACGCAAACAUCGCGUUUCUGCAGUUAUCACACUGCUGAAUAAAUGAAGAUUCUAUAAAAGAAAUCCGAGUGAUAAAAAAGAAAAAAUUUGGUAUUCAAAAACAUAGAAACCAUAUGUGUAUGCAUAAGGAGAUUUACUCUCAUCAGUGUGGGAGAUGGAGGAGCUCACUGUUCCACAGUGUCGUGUGGAUGUGGACGCAAACAUCGCGUUUCUGCAGUUAUCACACUGCUGAAUAAAUGAAGAUUCUAUAAAAGAAAUCCGAGUGAGAAAAAAAAAAAGAAAAAUUUUGGUAUUCAAAAACAUAGAAACCAUAUGUGUAUGUAUAAGGAAAAAAAAUUAUACUCCAAUUUUCAACAGCCUACAGACUUAUUUCAAAUUCAUCAAGAUAUUCUAUUCAUAAACGAGGCCCCUUGCCAAGAGCUACUCCCCACAGGCAAUCAUAUGGAAGGAACCUUCAAAAGUUUAAUACACCAAACCCAAUAGCUAUGACAAAGAUAUCCCCAACUCAAUGCAGGUAACCUACACCUAAUGAGGUGUCAAAUCCAAUAAAAAUAAUCAAGGGUGGUCGAGAUUGACAACAGGGAUGUUAAUACAACGAAACCCUCAGCUCACAAUCCAGGGACAAUCAAGAUCAUCACAUUCGAAUGCAUUGGAGUUCUCAACUUAACAACAUCCUGAGAUUUACUCCCAUCAGUGUGGGAGAACGGAGCAUGUAAGAUGUGACUUUCAGGCAGUAUCCCUGUGCCUUACCACGGGUGGGGGGUCACUAGGGACUGGCAAGAAGCGAUCCUAAUUCAAGGGAAGCUUUUGACUCCAAGAGUAUCCAGAAUCCCUACCACUGGUGGGGGGAAUAUCUGGACUCGUUGAAGUUACAGCAUCAAAUUGGUGCCAUUUUAUAAGGCGCCCCGAAGUCUAAACCUGGGUAGCUGAGAGCCAAUCAAAAUGGAGAGUUGAUGGCGACCUCUUUGAAACGAAUUGCUGACAUUGGGCACUUUUAUCUUUCUUUUUCAAAAUUAUUUCAUUUUUUAUUUUUUACCCUGUGUUUUUGGCUUUUAAUGUGUGAAAACAAUAUAACCACUAGCUUCUCUUCAGUUUUCUCAGCAGGAAUCCCGAAUAUAGCAAGCCUCUGCUUGAAUGUAGGAUUCGUCUGGACUUUAAGUCUACCAAUGUUGGCGGACUUAACGUUGUCCACAAACCUCUUUUUCUCAGAGGGGUUGGCGAAGUGGAGGACAAGUUUUUUUAUCCCCCCCUGUCACCGCGGCUACAUCACAGUUCUUCAAACUAGGAGUCUGGGCGCUUUUUGCCCUGAUCUCGCUAACAGUGAAAUCCGCGGAAGCGAGCUUCGCGUGGUUGGUGCUGUUACGCAGCAUAUGCGUGUAACUGGGUUUAGUUGGUUUGACAGGCUUAGCGCCUGCGCUGGUUGGCUGAGUGACUUUUGUCACCACUGGGGUUGGUUUGGAGAAGGUGUGGGAGCGACGGUUGGUUUUUUAGAGGCUGAUAGUUCAGCUUUGAUUUCUGCGACUUUAAGGUCGCAGCACUUCAGCUUAUGCUGAAGGAUGCUUACAACAGUGUUCUGGAGCUGGUAGAGCAGCCCAUCUAUUUUUAAGUAGAGAUUUUUAUUCUCUGUGGAACCUAGAUCCCCGCUGAGCCUUAGCCCUACCUCAUGUUGCAGGAUUUGGCGGCAACCCUUAAAGGACGUGUAGAUUUCACCCAGUUCCCCACCUAGUCCUACACCAACUUCAUAUUGUAGGAUCUGCCUAAAGCUUCGGGUUUCGGGACAGUGGUGUCGGGUGGAAGGGAAAGGGAGAAGCGGAUCUCAUAGUGGUCGGAAAGGUCUGUAGGGUAUGAGGUGGAGACGGAGGAUAGGAUAGAGGAAGAGACGCUGGAGUUGUCAAUGGAGGAGUAGCUGGAGCCCUGGGAGCGGGUGAUAGCUCCCCAGGUGUUACAGACCUUGAGGUCGAGGGCGUCGAGAAGGGUGUUAAUAAGAGAGCCUUUAGAGUUUUGUUUUUGUGAGCUCCAGCGGGAGAAAACAGCGUUGACAUCUCCAGCGAAGAGAAGGCGGGGAGGGGGUGGGGAGCCAAAGAGGGAGAUAAAGGAGUCGACGAUGGGGGAGUAAGAAGUGUGGUGGGGUAAGUUUACGGAGCAGAGAGUAAGGUGAAAGCCUGGGAUGUCAAGGAUUGCAAGGGUGCGGCUGGUGGUGGAGAGUCGUGGGAGGAAAAUGACGGGAAGGCUUUGGUUAAGAACAAUUAUACAGGUGUUACACCGGUUGUUAGAGAUAGGAGCAUGGAGGAGGAGGGGGUGGGAAAUGGGGAGGGAAGGGCAUUGUCACGGACCGGGAGUUCUUGAAGGAGAAGGAUAUCUAUAUGGGAGGACCGGGCAAAUUGUAGUAAGGAGAGGUAGCAAGGGAGGGAUCGGUUACAGUUAAGCUGUAAGAACUUAAGCAUUUAGGGCAGGUUGUGGGUGCUAAGGAAUGUGGUUUCAGCGGCCUUGAUGACCGGGCAGGAGAGAGAGUCCGCCCGGUGUAUGCCGUUGCCGUUGCAGCGUAAACAUUUAGGGGGGAGGGUGGUGGCGGUGCAGUUGUUGGUGAUGUGGCCUUCGCCGCAAUGGUGGCAUCUGGGGGGCUUAUUGCAAAUUUCAUUGUGGUGACGGAUGUCACCGCAGUUACGGCAGGGGUGAGUUGAUCUGGUUCUGUCAAACCUGAUUGAGUUAUAUCCCAAAAAGAGACUGGUUCGAGAUUGCAGUUGGGUGGCAGUGUCGGAGUCGGUUUCGAUGACCGCGUGUGUGGAGUUGUUGCGGCCGGUAAAAGUUCUAAUGAGUUUGCAGUCAGUGCCUAUUGAUUGGGUGAGAAGGGAGGGCAGGUCGCUGAGUGGGAUAGUGUUGGAGAGGUUGAAGAGGGUAAAGCGGGGUUUAAAGGUGGGGGGGAGGUUGACGCUGAUGUUUGUGCCGUUGGUGGCAUUUUUGAGCUUGGCGUAGAUAGAGUCCAUGCUAUUUUUGGAGUUAGUGUGUAAGAUGAUCUUGUUACGGGCGCGGAAGAUGUUAAGUGAUUUGGGUGGAGGGAGUAUUGAGGGAGGAGAAGGAAAUUUUUGAGUUGAGGUUGUUGUCGAUGGGGGUGCAAGCAGAUGGGUCCUGGGUGAUGAGGAUGUGGAAGGGGUUGUUGCGGUUGGAAUGGGGAGGGGGGCGGUGGGUUGGGGGUUGAGUGUCGUGGGGGGGGGGGGGGGGGGUUGGUGGGGUGGGGGGUUAGCGGGAGGCGGUCGGGAGGCGACCCCGGCAAACGAGUUAGGGAUGGGCAUGAGUGGAGUGGAAUGGGGUGAGGAGCUGGGUACAGGGGUGGGGGAGGAGGAAGAUGGGGAGGCGGGUGAAAGCUGGGGGGAGGAGGAACGUUUGGGGAGGGGUGAGGAGGGGGGUGGAGGAGGCAGGGGGAGGCAUAGGUGGGCAAGGAGAGGAUGCAAGCAAAUUUUGUUUAAGGAGAUGAGUGAGGACGUUUGUGGCGCUGUUGGCCUCGAGGAGGCGUUGCUGAUAUGUGUUGGAGAUGUGUGCGAAAGUUUUUUUGAGGUCAUUGCGGAAACAAUCGGCAAGGGUAGGGUCAAAAGAGUCAGCAUAAGGGGCAAGGAUGUUGUAGGCCCAGGUUAGAUGUAGGAGGUGUGAGGGGUUGUUGGUGGGGAAAAGGUUACAUGUGGGUGGAGGUGAGGCGCUGAGUGGAGAGGCGCCUGAGGAGAGGUUUCCUAUCCACGGGGAAAAUAAUCGCCUCCACGAUGUCACCCUCUGUGACUCCUAUGUUGGAUAAGGGCUCCGAGAAGCGCUCACGGCUCAACGCAUAUAUAAUAUCGCCUGCCUGGUCGUAGCAGGCAUCUAUGAAUUGGGUAGACAGAGGAGGUGGAGGUGUCGCGAUGUCCGGCGACGUCCUUUCCCCGUGGAGAGCGGGUGGUGUUGGCUUGGCAGGCCGAGUUGCAGGCAGUGGGGGUGUUGGAGGCACUGCGGCUGGUGAGGUUUUCAGCUCCGCCUUGACCUGAUGUAGAACUUUAUAGAUGUUGGAAUUGCCUCCGGGCCUCAGGUCAAGGAGUUGGUUAAUUACACCGGCUCGAGCCUGGAGGUCAUCCCUCGUAGAUUUCCUGGUUGAUGAUGUAGAGGAAGCGGAGGAGCUCACCCCAGGUCGACUGCCGAGGUCCUGAUCCCCGCCAAUGGUAGGGUCGAGCAGGGAGUUAAACAUGCUCAGGUGGUAGUCUUGGCAGGAGGAGUCAGUGCCGGGAGAGGAGGUGGAGGAAUCUUGGGAGGGGGGCAGAGAGCCCCCUGGAGUUGAAGAGGUGUCAGAGGUGGGGGUGGCCCCCAGGGAGGGCGGUGGGAAGAGGGCGCAGGCCGGGGCGGACCCGCCGCUGGCGGGCGGCGUGGAUUGCUGGAGUGGAGGAUCAGCUUCCCCUUGGUUCGCAGAGAGGCCCAAACGCCUUGGGGUAGAGUGUGGGCAAUACGGACAGCCUUGUAAAUCUCCCACUGUGUGGGCCGCCGAUUUUUCCCCAUGGAGGACCACUUGGGCGGCCGCAGGCUUGGGGACGUGGGAAGGCGCAGGUUUUGUGGGACCUUUCAAGUUGGAUCUUUUGGCAGGGGGGUUGGGAGCCUCAGGCUGCUUCCUCUUGGUUGCAGCAGGAGUGGCGGGCUUGGUGGGGUCAGUCUGGGAGCUGGUUUCCUUUAAGCAGGGAGCAGGGCUGGUUUGGGUGCUGUGGCAGUCAGUCUGGGGCUUGUUGGCACCUUUGUCCAGCUCCUUAAAGGACGCGAGGAUGCCAGAGAGGCUCUCCACCUCAGCAAGGAGGGCUUUGAUCUGUUCAGACCGCAGCUCGAUGAAAUUUAUCGAGCCCUGAUACAGGGUGUUGGGGCCAGAGGACUGCAAGGCAUCGCAGUAGUGUUGCCUCGCCUCCUCAUUCUCCUUUUCCAGUUGAGCGAGGGUCACAAGGGGCUUCUUGGCGUUCUUCUUCUUCUUUUUCCUAGAGGGAGCCAUGGCAGGAGCAAGAGAGCAGAGAUGUGCACAGGUAGAGAGCUAGCUGGCUCGAUCUGAGAAUCCGACUUAGCAGCAAAUUGUGCUGUUUUAUAAGGCACCCCAAGUCUAAACCUGGGUAGCUGAGAGCCGAUCAAAAUGGAGAGUUGAUGGCGACCGCUUUUGAACGAAUUGCUGACAUUGGGCACACUUUAUCUUUCUUUUUAAAAAUUAUUUUCAAUUUUUUUUUUUACCCUGUGUAUUUUGGCUUUUAAUGUGUGAAAACAAUAUAACCACAAGCUGCUCUUUAGUUUUCUCAGAAGGAAUCCCGAAUAUAGCAAGCCUCGGCUUGAAUGUAGGAUUCGUCUGGACUUUAAGUCUACCAAUGUUGGCGGACUUAACAUUGUCCACGAACCUCUUUUUUUCAGAGGAGUUGGCGAAGUGGAGGACAAGUUUCUUGUCCCCUCCAGUCACAGCGGCCACAUCAACAUUCUUUAAACAGGGAGUUUGGGUGAUUUUUGCCCUGAUUUCACUAACAGACAGCUCCGCAUGAUUAAUGCUGUUACGCAGCAUAUGCACGUAACUUGGUCGUGUAGGUUUGGUUGGCUUAACACCAACAUUGGGUGGUGGUGCAGGUUUGGCAUUUUUAGCAGAGGCUGCGUAUUGCGCCCUAAUCAGAGCAAUUUUAAGAUCGCAACCCUUCAAUUUCUGUUUGAAAACGUCCACAACGGUGGUCUGUAGUUGGCAAAGUAGCAUUUCCAUUUUGCCGUAUGAUUUUUUAAUAGCUGAAGAACCCAGUUCCUCACCUAGUCCUACAUCAACUUCAUAUUGUAGGAUCUGCCUAAAGCUGUUGAAUGUGAGUGGAAUCUCUUCCCACCCUUCCCUAAAGGUUGGAGUCAGAAGGUGUGAUAGGAGGAGAGGAAGUGACCCAGGGAGACUCAUUAUUUUGGAGAGCUUGACCUGGGCUAGGCGCGGAAGUACCCGCCGCGUUGAUAAUGGUAAUCCAAGAGGGUAUAACAAGUGGUGAGUGUGUUUUUUUUUUAUCCGGGGGAGAGGGCAAUUCUCUAGCACACUGGACGGUCACAAAUUGAGAAAAAAAAGAUGAUUAGAUCCUGAGCCCUCUCUCUCCCUCCUUCAGAAAUCUGGUUGUUCUGUGGAAGACUUAACACACUCCUGACGGCCCCGCGAGCGUUUCUCCACACGCGCUCGGCCUUCUGAGUAGCCCUUUGGAGCAGAUUAAAUUCCGGUUUCCACCAAGAUGCAUUUUUAUUUUGCUAGGUAUAUUUGGCUUGAAAGGAAUGGUCUGUAUGCAUGAAUGAAACACUUCAUCUCUAAGUAAUGUAAUAAUAUUAUCGAGUUGAAAUGUGUAACUCUUGCUAUCUAUCUUAUGGUCAGAUAAAGCCUGGUUGAUCGCGUUGCAAUCAGCGAUCCUGUCCACGGGACCAGCAGGUCACAUCGAUGGAUGAGGACAUGUUGCGUUCCUCCCACGUAAUGUUACCAUGCUCGUUGACCACUAUCAGAGGGCACAGGAAUAGAUGCUAGACUACCUUUUGCAACUGGGAGUUCUUGUAAUAAUAGCACAUCCGUUUUCUCAUUGAAACAUUCAUUUCACAAGGAGGACAAACACCAAGGGGAGCGUCUUACAUUUGCUUGAACACACUUGAGCACGUUCAUUGCACCAUUAAUGAAGUAAGGAGCUGUGCCUUGUACCCCUUUUAAAGCCAUUUCUUUUUCCCCAACAACCAUCCGGGUGCACCCUGUGAAACACGUAUUAAUCUCUUCCCGCCCUUCCCUAAAAGCCUGAUUCGAGUCAAGUGGCCCUAUAGGAGUAGGAGCAGAAGGAGAUACCCGGGGAAACUCACCAUCGGGAAAUAACUCCGUAGUCAUAGGCCCGGCUCCAGUGCCAGGAGGAUUCGUCGACCGAGCGUCGCUUUUUUAUGUAUUGAUGCAUAACAGCAUCUAGCCAGAGAGUCCAUUGUGCCAGCGGCAGGUCCAGUCAAGGGAGGGUCCGAGGAGCCUCGCGUGUAAGCUAUCAGGUAUCUCGUAACUCAAAUCUGUGUGGCUCAUGCACAACAUGAAACACGAAUGAAAAUUCCACGACCCCUCAGCUAUAUAUAUAUUUAUAUAUAUAUAUAAUAAUAAAUAGUUAUUUAAUUAUAUAGUCCAGUUUUGUAUUAAGAUUAUCUUCACUAUUAUGAUCAUUUAAAUACAAAUUAUAAAAUUUGUAAAAUGUUAUUAAUUUGUAGAUAGAGAGAGAGAAAAAAAAAAAAAAUCCUUUACUUCUAUUACAUCCUCAAGUUAAUUAUAUAUUUAUAAUUAAUAACAAUAAAAAAAAUUAACAAAGUAACGUCUAUUACAUCGGCUUUUACACGUCAUUCAGACAUACUCUAAUCCUAUAUAUAGAAUAAUCGAAGAGAUAAUAGUUAGAAAAAAGAAAGACAGAACCAUGCAAUUUUAAUCAAACUAAGGAAAAAAAAAAAUAUAUAUAUAUAUAUUCCGGCCGCUCCCUCCAUUUUCUUUGGCUGAUCCUCCCGGCAACUUUGUGUGUGUGUGUGGCAAACAGACGGUCAUCUAAUGCCCUUAACUAAAAUAAGCUUCAUUUGUUUUCCUUUCCUUAGAAAGAGAAGCUUUGUUUUUCAUAUCUGAGGAUAUAGCCAUGUUGAAUAACCUCCAUUGAAUAAGUCCAUGUGUGUGAGGAAUGAGGUUUCGGCAGCUUUGAUGUCCGGGCAGGAGAGUGAGUCUGCCCGGUGUUGGUUGCUGCAGCGGAAGCUUUUGAGGGGAAUGGCGGUGCAGUUGGUGGCCCACAGUGGAAGUACUUGGGUGGUCUGUUGCUGAUGAUGUUGCGGUGACGUAGGUCCCUGCAAUUGCGGCAGGGGUGUGUGGAUCGAGUCCGCUCUAAACAGAAAUUACACACCUUCCGCUGUAAGCUUGAAGGCAAGCUUUUUCAGAGAAAGCCUUGAAGACAAUCACAACACAGCCCUCUAGGUAACAGGCCCGUUGGAGGAAAAGGAAUUCUGGUAGACACAAGUAGAUUGUGCUUUGGAGAGUUGGAUAGGGGUCGUGGCUGAGGGAAAAAGGCUUCAAGUACUCACUGCAAGUAAAGUUAGUGGUUGCUUUAUUGGGUUCAAAUUCAGGGAACAACAAUUACAGGAGGGGUAGGCAAUUAUAGUAGAGUGGGACACAAUGUUGACGUGAAAGGUUUACAUGGUAGCUAUUUACAUACAUCAGGUUGUGGCGAUGGGUGAUACAUGGGCCCGGGAUGUGCUGGUUGACAGUCAAUAUGAACAAGUUGGUACAGAUGAAUACGAUGAGGAAGGGAUGACAGAAGUUUACAAAAUAUAUGUACAACAAACAAAAUGAGAAAGAUAAACAACAAGGGGGAAUGUGGGAACGUAUGACAGACUAGGGGCUAUGGCUUACAAUUGGGAAAAAUCAUCAGACUGGACAUCAGUUGUUGCUGAAUUCAUACGCAGAGUCGGCCAACUCAGGGAGGGUGGUUGGAAUUUAAAUCUCUCUUCAGAAACUGGCUUAUUGAAAUAAGCUUCUUUCUUUGUCCAAGUUUCCAACAGAAUCUCUUCUGGAGGAAAUAAAUUUAAGCAACCGUGCUUUAUUUGACCAUCUGUCAAAAAAUUACCUUGUGGAAAUUGAUUGAUUUUAAAGAGGUCCUGUCAAGAAGGGCGUCAGGACAACAUGAUGGCGAAAGAUAAACAGUACACAGAGGGAUUGACAUGUCAUUCACUUCACAUUGAACAAACAGCAUUCACACACGACAAAUGUUCAUCACCUGUUUUCCCCACAUUAUAGUUGAGAAUUUGCCAUUUGGCCCUACCUGAAGCGCGUCCACAGUGGUCCUUGCUUGUAUACCAACCUGAAGGUCAUCAGUAUCUCUUCAGUUAUUUGGAAGUUCUUCUCAUUUAUAUUAGGAUUAACAAAUUGUGCAACAUUUGUUCCAACAUUGUGAGCUAUUUCUUGUAUACAAAUAAAAUGUGCCCUGUCAUUCGUGAUCAUCUAUAAAUUUUGUUCGCAGAAUAUGCUCCCCCCAAUGUUGGGUUAGAAUCUUGUCAGGGGAAAAUUUCUUAGUCCUCAAAGUAUUAAUGCCUUGUAUAUUUUGAGUAUUUUAUAAAAGCCUUAGAGAUUGAAUUGUCCUUAUUUUAUUUCCUUUUUGCCCCAUAAUAAGAGCUAUCCAGAAUAUUAAAUGUUAAUGUGAUAAAUUGUAGUUUACAAUACAUACAUUAUCCCAUAUCAUUAAGAGGAGCCUACUCAUGGUAGAAUUUGUUGUGGGUCCUGUUCUAGUCUGGUGGCUUCCAUGCAUGUCUACCCACCCAUAUAGUGGAUGUACUUUGACACAAUUGUAAUCAUGGGCCAUGUUUGUGGUGGUUGGAAUGUCGCCAGGACUUCGCAGUGUGACCUCUAUAUUGUCGCUGGAUUAGAGUUCUAUCUUGGGGACCAUGCUGACCCAACUAAUUCAAGUCUGGAAACCAUAGCCUUUAAUUGAUGCAAUUAUGUGGUUUUUAAUUGAAUUUUCCCUUUUAACACUUUGCUAUAUAGAUUCUAAAAGUAUUUUGAUACAUAACAAACAAAAAGACACUAUACAAAACUUAAACAACAAAUUUUUUAGAAUGUUUGUAUUAUCAGUAAGGUUGACCCAAAUAGGUACUGUAAAUAAUGUCAUUAUGAUACCAGACACUUGUUAGAUUAUGACAAUGGAAUUGUUAACAUUUAUUUAUGAUCUGUAUAUAGUGGCCUCUCUAGUUGAUUAGCUAGCUAUGCAAAUUUACUUAUUUAUUUCUUUGUAAUUAUGUAAAUAAUUUCACCCUUCAUAUAUGUUAAAUAUUUUUGUUUAAUAAAUUCCAAUAAUGAGAAUGGUGUCUUUAUUUACAUCCUGGCAAUGCAACAGCUACACAGUUAUCUUCCAUUGAAUGGGGAAUAUUUAGAGCUCUUUCCACCUUUUCCCACACCUUGAUGGUUGCCAGCAUUGAUACAACAGUCUGUUGUUCUUUCUACAAGGGUGGAUCAAUAAUAAACAAUUAUAAAGGAAACAAAUGUAUAUACACUUUUAUAUUUAACUCUGUUGUUAGAAAAAAUUCUCAAGAAACCAUCUGGCAACAUUUUUUUCCAAUAAAAAUGGUAACCAAAACAAACAGUUGCACCAAGUAUGAAAUGUGAUCAGUAAUACGUUUUUUUAAAUCAUGAAGUGGUUAAACCAUUUUAAAUCAACUCCAGAAUGAAAUAUGUUUACAGUGAUAAAUGUUUAUCUCAAAAUCAAAUUUUUGAAUGGGUUAGAAAAUUCAAAAGCGGCAUAGAAAGUUUGGAUGGUGCGCCAGUCAAGGUUGGUGAUGAUGUAACCACCAUUGACGAGAUGAUACAGAACGAUUGUAACAUUAGCAUUAGUUAUUUCUGCCGAACUUAACCUUAGCUAUGGUAGGGUCCAAAAAUAUUUAUAAAACAUUUAAAGUACAGAAAAAUUUGCACAAGAUGGGUGCCUCGGCUGCUCACAAAGGAAAUGAAGGAAAAAUGUCUUAACGCUUGUAAAGAUCUUGUGGAAUGUUAUGAAAUAGAGGUUUAAAGUUUUCUUGAUAGGAUGGUGACUGGAGUUGAAUCAU